rnacentral:rRNA from 1 species
UGGGGAAUUUUGGACAAUGGGCGCAAGCCUGAUCCAGCAAUGCCGCGUGCAGGAUGAAGGCCUUCGGGUUGUAAACUGCUUUUGUACGGAACGAAAAGGCUCUGGUUAAUACCUUGGGCCCAUGACGGUACCGUAAGAAUAAGCACCGGCUAACUACGUGCCCGCAGCCGCGGUAAUACGUAGGGUGCAAGCGUUAAUCGGAAUUACUGGGCGUAAAGCGUGCGCAGGCGGUUAUGUAAGACAGAUGUGAAAUCCCCGGGCUCAACCUGGGACCUGCAUUUGGGACUGCAUAGCUAGAUUAAGGCAGAGGGGGAUGGAAUUCGGCGUGUAGGAGUGAAAUGCGUAGGUAUGCGGAGGAACACCGAUGGCCAAGGCAAUCCCCUGGGCCUGUACUGACGAUCAUGCACGAAAGCGUGGGGAGCAAACA